rnacentral:rRNA from 1 species
CCUACGGGAGGCAGCAGUGGGGAAUAUUGCACAAUGGGCGCAAGCCUGAUGCAGCGACGCCGCGUGAGGGAUGACGGCCUUCGGGUUGUAAACCUCUUUCAGUAGGGAAGAAGCGAAAGUGACGGUACCUGCAGAAGAAGCGCCGGCUAACUACGUGCCAGCAGCCGCGGUAAUACGUAGGGCGCAAGCGUUAUCCGGAAUUAUUGGGCGUAAAGAGCUCGUAGGCGGUUUGUCGCGUCUGCCGUGAAAGUCCGGGGCUCAACUCCGGAUCUGCGGUGGGUACGGGCAGACUAGAGUGAUGUAGGGGAGACUGGAAUUCCUGGUGUAGCGGUGAAAUGCGCAGGUAUCAGGAGGAACACCGAUGGCGAAGGCAGGUCUCUGGGCAUUAACUGACGCUGAGGAGCGAAAGCAUGGGGAGCGAACAGGAUUAGAUACCCUGGUAGUCCAUGCCGUAAACGUUGGGCACUAGGUGUGGGGGACAUUCCACGUUUUCCGCGCCGUAGCUAACGCAUUAAGUGCCCCGCCUGGGGAGUACGGCCGCAAGGCUAAAACUCAAAUGAAUUGACGG